AUUGAACGCUGGCGGCAUGCCUUACACAUGCAAGUCGAACGGCAGCACGGGAGCUUGCUCCUGGUGGCGAGUGGCGAACGGGUGAGUAAUAUAUCGGAACGUACCUAGUAGUGGGGGAUAGCCCGGCGAAAGCCGGAUUAAUACCGCAUACGAUCUACGGAUGAAAGCGGGGGAUCGCAAGACCUCGCGCUAUUGGAGCGGCCGAUAUCUGAUUAGCUAGUUGGUGAGGUAAAGGCUCACCAAGGCUACGAUCAGUAGCUGGUCUGAGAGGACGACCAGCCACACUGGAACUGAGACACGGUCCAGACUCCUACGGGAGGCAGCAGUGGGGAAUUUUGGGCAAUGGGGGAAACCCUGAUCCAGCAAUGCCGCGUGAGUGAAGAAGGCCUUCGGGUUGUAAAGCUCUUUUGUCAGGGAAGAAACGGUAGAGGCUAAUAUCCUUUGCUAAUGACGGUACCUGAAGAAUAAGCACCGGCUAACUACGUGCCAGCCGCCGCCGUAA
rnacentral:rRNA from 1 species